GCCUUCGUGGUGUAGUGGUCAGUACACUGGCCGCGUAUUCGAGAGGUCAGUGGUUCGAGUCCCGGCGAGGGCA
rnacentral:tRNA from 1 species